rnacentral:rRNA from 1 species
CGAUGGAUAGGGGUUCUGAGAGGAAGGUCCCCCACAUUGGUACUGAGACACGGACCAAACUCCUACGGGAGGCAGCAGUGAGGAAUAUUGGUCAAUGGCCGAGAGGCUGAACCAGCCAAGUCGCGUGAAGGAAGAAGGAUCUAUGGUUUGUAAACUUCUUUUAUAGGGGAAUAAAGUGGAGGACGUGUCCUUUUUUGUAUGUACCCUAUGAAUAAGCAUCGGCUAACUCCGUGCCAGCAGCCGCGGUAAUACGGAGGAUGCGAGCGUUAUCCGGAUUUAUUGGGUUUAAAGGGUGCGUAGGUGGUGAUUUAAGUCAGCGGUGAAAGUUUGUGGCUCAACCAUAAAAUUGCCGUUGAAACUGGGUUACUUGAGUGUGUUUGAGGUAGGCGGAAUGCGUGGUGUAGCGGUGAAAUGCAUAGAUAUCACGCAGAACUCCGAUUGCGAAGGCAGCUUACUAAACCAUAACUGACACUGAAGCACGAAAGCGUGGGGAUCAAACAGGAUUAGAUACCCUGGUAGUCCACGCAGUAAACGAUGAUCAACGGUGAAACUCAAAGGAAUUGACGGGGGCCCGCACAAGCGGAGGAACAUGUGGUUUAAUUCGAUGAUACGCGAGGAACCUUACCCGGGUUUGAACGUAGUCUGACCGGAGUGGAAACACUCCUUCUAGCAAUAGCAGAUUACGAGGUGCUGCAUGGUUGUCGUCAGCUCGUGCCGUGAGGUGUCGGCUUAAGUGCCAUAACGAGCGCAACCCUUAUCACUAGUUACUAACAGGUGAAGCUGAGGACUCUGGUGAGACUGCCAGCGUAAGCUGUGAGGAAGGUGGGGAUGACGUCAAAUCAGCACGGCCCUUACAUCCGGGGCGACACACGUGUUACAAUGGCAUGGACAAAGGGCAGCUACCUGGCGACAGGAUGCUAAUCUCCAAACCAUGUCUCAGUUCGGAUCGGAGUCUGCAACUCGACUCCGUGAAGCUGGAUUCGCUAGUAAUCGCGCAUCAGCCAUGGCGCGGUGAAUACGUUCCCGGGCCUUGUACACACCGCCCGUCAAGCCAUGGGAG